GACUGGAGGAUCCACACUGUAAACUGGAGACAUUGAAGCCUGUCGUGACAUUUAAUCCAAGGCAGUGCACUGGACAGCUGACAAUGCUACUUUCAAAGGCUGGCAGGCUGCAACAUCACAGAGGAAGGCUGUGCUUCUUUUGCUUCAGCUCUGAGGUCAAACCCCUCCCACCUGAAGGAGCUGGACCUGAGAGGAAAUACUCCAGUAGACUCUGGAGUAAAGCUGCUCUCUUCUGUACGAGAGGAUCCCCU